GUUAAGAAUCUUGCACAAUUAGCGAAAGCUAGAUGCAGCGACGCCGCGUGAAGGACGAAGGCCCUCGGGUCGUAAACUUCUGUUCCGGGGAAAGAUAAUGACGGUACCCCGGGAGAAAGCCCCGGCCAAUUACGUGCCAGCAGCCGCGGUAACACGUAAGGGGCAAGCGUUGUCCGGAAUCACUGGGCGUAAAGCGCGCGUAGGUGGUUUGGUAAGUCGGAUGUGAAAGCCUCGGGCUCAACCCGGGAACUGCGUUCGAAACUGCCUCACUAGAGAGUGGGAGAGGGAGAUGGAAUUCCCGGUGUAGGGGUGAAAUCCUUAGAUAUCGGGAAGAACACCGAUGGCGAAGGCAAUCUCCUGGCCCAUUUCUGACACUGAGGUGCGAAAGCGUGGGGAGCGAACGGGAUUAGAAACCCGGGUAGUCC
rnacentral:rRNA from 1 species